rnacentral:rRNA from 1 species
GACAGAGGGUGCAACCGUUGUUCGGAAUUACUGGGCGUAAAGCGUGUGUAGGCGGUCCGCUAAGUCGGGUGUGAAAGCCCUGGGCUCAACCCAGGAAGUGCACUCGAAACUGGCGGGCUAGAGUAUCGGAGAGGUUGGUGGAAUUCUCGGUGUAGAGGUGAAAUUCGUAGAUAUCGGGAGGAACACCAGUGGCGAAGGCGGCGACCUGGGCCAAUACUGACGCUGAGGUGCGAAAGCGUGGGGAGCAAACAGG